rnacentral:rRNA from 1 species
AGUGAACGCUGGCGGUAGGCCUAACACAUGCAAGUCGAACGGCAGCACAGUAAGAGCUUGCUCUUACGGGUGGCGAGUGGCGGACGGGUGAGGAAUACAUCGGAAUCUACUUUUUCGUGGGGGAUAACGUAGGGAAACUUGCGCUAAUACCGCAUACGACCUACGGGUGAAAGCAGGGGAUCUUCGGGCCUUGCGCGAUUGAAUGAGCCGAUGUCGGAUUAGCUAGUUGGCGGGGUAAAGGCCCACCAAGGCGACGAUCCGUAGCUGGUCUGAGAGGAUGAUCAGCCACACUGGAACUGAGACACGGUCCAGACUCCUACGGGAGGCAGCAGUGGGGAAUAUUGGACAAUGGGCGCAAGCCUGAUCCAGCCAUACCGCGUGGGUGAAGAAGGCCUUCGGGUUGUAAAGCCCUUUUGUUGGGAAAGAAAAGCAGCAGGUUAAUACCCCGCUGUUCUGACGGUACCCAAAGAAUAAGCACCGGCUAACUUCGUG